GUCCACGCCCUAAACGAUGUCGACUGGUUGUUGGGGUUUGACACUCUCAGUAACGAAGCUAACGCGUGAAGUAGACCGCCUGGGGAGUACGGCCGCAAGGUUAAAACUCAAAGGAAUUGACGGGGACCCGCACAAGCGGUGGAUUAUGUGGAUUAAUUCGAUGCAACGCGAAAAACCUUACCUACCCUUGACAUGUCCUGGACCCUGCAGAGAUGCGGGGGUGCCCGAAAGGGAACGGGAACACAGGUGCUGCAUGGCUGUCGU
rnacentral:rRNA from 1 species